AAAGGAGAAAAAAACAGAAACCCUUUCUCUUCUCUUCCUCUCCGAUUCAAGCUUCAUCCGCUCUCUUUGUAAUUUCUCUCUUUCCGUCGAUACUCUCUUUCUCCUUCUCAAAUUUCAGUCGUCGAUGGUUAAAUUGGGAGUGGCGAAUGCGUGGAACUGAAGGAACUACGAGGGCAUCAAAAUUCCUGCAAUGGUGACGGCUGAUUCAAUAAAGCUAUUGAUGGUACCGACGUCGUCAGAGAGCUGAAUUGCAUUUUUUCCACUGUUUGCAGCGUCACUAGCAUAUAAGGAUCAAAUUUCAAGAAGAGAGAGGGAAGGGAUGGUCCCUAGAUUGUUAAUUCAGCGGCUAACACCACACUUCAUAGCACGUAUCCGAGAAAAUCAGAGGCUACUUAGCUCUUCUGUUUCAGCUCAUCAAGAAGUCCCUUCUUUGUUGACAUCUCCAUCUCCAUCUUCAUCUGUGCUCAUUGACACCAUUCACAUGACUGAUAAUUGCAUUCAGAAAAUGAAAGAAUUGCAAGAACCCAUGGAAGAAAAGAUGCUUCGCUUGAGUGUAGAAACUGGGGGGUGUUCUGGAUUUCAAUAUGUUUUCAAUUUGGAUGACAAAACCAACCCAGACGAUAGGGUGUAUGAGAAGGACGGAGUUAAAUUGGUAGUUGAUAAUAUCUCAUAUGAUUUUGUAAAAGGAGCAACAAUUGAUUAUGCUGAAGAGCUGAUUCGUUCUGCUUUCGUUGUGACUACAAAUCCAAGUGCUGUUGGUGGCUGUAGUUGUAAAAGUUCUUUCAUGGUGAAACAAUAAUCACCUCAAAGACUUCCUUCAUUAGCACCUUCAUAGGAGUAAUAAUCAAACCCUGACCUGAAGAACAUGAUGAUUCUCUUGAGUAUGGCAACUUGUAUUAUCUCUACUUGAUGAAUUAGAGGGAACAAAAGGCAUAUAUGAGAAGACGUUUGAUGUUCUAUUGUGUGACUUUUUUAUAAAAAAAAUAUUUUGUGAUGGGCAUGAAGUCAUUUUACAAGUAAACGUUCUCUCUAAGCUGGUUUUUUGGAUUGCCAUUUAUUUACAAUCAUGGAUCUGUCUCCCACAUUUUUGGACAAG